UAUUGGGCAAUGGAGGCAACUCUGACCCAGCCAUGCCGCGUGCAGGAUGAAGGCGCUCAGCGUUGUAAACUGCUUUUAUCUGGGAAGAAAAGUAGUCCUGCGGGAUUAUGUGACGGUACCAGAGGAAUAAGCACCGGCUAACUCCGUGCCAGCAGCCGCGGUAAUACGGAGGGUGCAAGCGUUGUCCGGAUUUAUUGGGUUUAAAGGGUGCGUAGGUGGUUUUUUCAAGUCUGGUUUGAAAGCUGGUCGCUUAACGAUCAGAUGUGGCUGGAAACUGAGGAACUUGAAUGCGUUGGCGGUAGCCGGAACGGGUCAUGUAGCGGUGAAAUGCAUAGAUAUGACCCAGAACACCGAUUGCGAAGGCAGGCUACUACGACGUGAUUGACACUGAGGCACGAGAGCAUGGGUAGCGAACAGG
rnacentral:rRNA from 1 species